GGCAGUUCUCCGGUGAUGCACCCCAGAAUCUGGCUUCCUCCUCUCUGGCUCUGGAGUGUGUCACCCGAGAACCACC
rfam:Myotis lucifugus cont2.45599, whole genome shotgun sequence.